CUUCGUACCAGGUUUGGAAAGUCAUAUUUAUGUUAAAAAGAGGAGUUUUAGUCAGAAGUGAGUUGAGGGGGAGAAAGUCUUUGUUCUUCUCUGUUUUUCUAAAUCCCCGUUUAAGAAUAUUUGUUGGCAUUUGGUCAUGGCAGACCUUUUUUUUUUGUGUCCUACAUUAAUGAACUUUUUAAUGAUUUUUUUUGCUAUUAAAAAAAAAAAAUUUC
rnacentral:misc_RNA from 1 species